CUGCUGUGAUGACCAUCUUAGGACACCUUUGGAACUAAACAUGAAAACAACCUUUAUAUCUGAGCAGC